CUUGAUGGGUAUAGUUUAACAUGACUGAAUGUGUGCCAUAUUCCGGAUCUGAAAGGUGACCUAAGGAUUUGAUUUGUAUAUUACUAUUAUAACAAAACCAUAAAUUCAAAAAAAGCAAUUAAAGUUAUAAAAAAACAAAAAAAUAUUUCCAAUUGCAAAACAACGAUCUUCAAACUAACUGGACUAAUCCAAAUAUACAAAUCGACCAC
rnacentral:lncRNA from 1 species